AUGUUUGCUCUGCCGCGUGGUGGCUCUCAGUUCUGGAAGUCUCUGGUCAAAGUUAGACCUGUUUUUCAAUCUUUUGUUAAGUUUGUUGUUGGGGACGGAUCCUCGAUUAGGUUUUGGCUUGAUUGGUGGUGUGGAGAUUCACCUCUCUCGGUGACCUUCCCUACCCUUUUCUCUUACUGCUCUGAUCCUAAUAUUUCUAUUGCGAAGCUAGCGUCCCAGGGGUGGAACCUGGCCUUUCGCCGCUCUCUGUCGCCUGUAGAGUUUGAAGAUUGGCAACGUCUUACUGCCCUCUUCCCUACGCUCUCGACGGUCAGGGAUUCAGUGCUUUUGCCGCUUUUUGCCUCUGGGCGUUUUUCUGUUAAAUCUCUUUAUUCUAAGCUCGUUGGUGGCACGCUUACCAAUCGUUUUUCCCAAAUUUGGAAGGCCCGUAUUCCCCCUAAGAUUAAAAUUUUCUUGUGGCAAGCUUUCCGAGGCCGGUUGCCCUCGGCUGAUCAAAUUCGUAAGAGAAAUGGGCCGGGCUCCCAGUUUUGUGCCCUUUGCGGUGAUGUGGAAGACUCGGAACAUAUCUUUUUUCAUUGUUACCUGACUAAGCUUAUUUGGAGUUGCGUGCAGGACUGGCUACGUGUCUCUUGGGCCCCUGCCUCCUUUGCCGAGUUGCGCAGCUUGGCUUCCAACCUCUCCGGUGUAUCUAGGCGCAUCUUUUGGGUGGGCUUGGGGGCUUUAUGCUGGUCCCUGUGGACAACUAGGAACAAAUUUACUAUCGAGCACGUGUUUCCGGCUAAACCGGCUGACUGCUUAUUUAAAUCGUGUGCUUUCCUGCAGCAGUGGAAAUCAUUGACUAAGGUCGACGACCAAGAGGCGCUCUCUAUGCUGAUCUACAAAAUCCGGACGACGGCGUCUUAG
rnacentral:rRNA from 1 species